rnacentral:rRNA from 1 species
UACGUAGGGGGCAAGCGUUGUCCGGAUUUAUUGGGCGUAAAGAGCGUGUAGGCGGCCAGGUAGGUCGGCUGUGAAAACUCGAGGCUCAACCUCGAGCUGUCGGCCGAAACCAUCUGGCUAGAGUCCGGAAGAGGAGAGUGGAAUUCCUGGUGUAGCGGUGAAAUGCGCAGAUAUCAGGAAGAACACCAAUGGCGAAAGCAGCUCUCUGGGACGGUACUGACGCUGAGACGCGAAAGCGUGGGGAGCGAACAGG